rnacentral:rRNA from 1 species
UUAAACGGCCGCGGUAUCCUAACCGUGCAAAGGUAGCAUAAUCACUUGUCCUCUAAAUAAGGACUAGAAUGAACGGUCAAAUGAGGAUUAAACUGUCUCUUACAUUCAACCAAUAAAACUGAUCUUUUAGUUAAAAAGCUAAAAUACACCCAUAAGACGAGAAGACCCUGUGGAGCUUUAGACCAAGCUCACACCUUAUGCCCACUUGGUUUUUAGUUGGGGCGACUUCGGAGUACAAAAAAACCUCCAUCAAACCUCAUGUGUUAAGACCAACAUGCCAAAACACCCUUGAACCUAGACCCAGUAGCCCUAAGACUACCUGAUCAAUGAACCAAGUUACCCCAGGGAUAACAGCGCCAUCCUCUUCUAGAGUUCAUAUCGACAAGAGGGUUUACGACCUCGAUGUUGGAUCAGGACACCCAAAUAGUGCAGCCGCUAUUAAAGGUUCGUUUGUUCAACGAUAAAAGUCCUACGUGAUCU